GGGCAGGCCACAUUAUAAGAUGCAAGACAGAGAAGUGGAGCCAAAGAAUUCUCAUGGCCCUCAAUGAACACGAUGGGAAGACGAAAUUAUACUCACAGUGGGACCACUCUGGACAAGGGUGGCAAGAGAGAGGAAAUACUGGAAGUAGUUGGAGGAGGCCUUUGCCGACAGGCACACUGAACUAAGAGACUUCAUAUAAACAUUCAAAACUAAAUUACUA